rnacentral:tmRNA from 1 species
GGGGCUGACUUGGAUUUCGACAGAUUUCUUGUCGCACAGAUAGCAUGCCAAGCGCUGCUUGUAAAACAGCAACAAAAAUAACUGUAAACAACGCAGAUUACGCUCCAGCUUACGCUAAAGCUGCGUGAGUUAAUCUCCUUUUGGAGCUGGACUGAUUAGAAUUUCUAGCGUUUUAAUCACUCCAUAACCUUAAGCUAGACGCUUUUAAAAGGUGGUUCGCCUUUUAAACUAAGAAACAAGAACUCUUGAAACUAUCUCAAGGUUUUAGAAAGUUGGACCAGAGCUAGUUUUAAGGCUAAAAACUAACCAAUUUUCUAAGCAUUGUAGAAGUUUGUGUUUAGGACAAGAUUUUUGGACUGGGGUUCGAUUCCCCACAGCUCCACCA